AACGAACGCUGGCGGCAGGCCUAACACAUGCAAGUCGAGCGCUCUCUUCGGAGGGAGCGGCGGACGGGUGAGUAACGCGUGGGAACGUGCCCUUCUCUGCGGGAUAGCCUUGGGAAACUGAGAGUAAUACCGCAUACGCCCUUCGGGGGAAAGAUUUAUCGGAGAAGGAUCGGCCCGCGUCUGAUUAGGUAGUUGGUGGGGUAAUGGCCUACCAAGCCUACGAUCAGUAGCUGGUUUUAGAGGAUGAUCAGCCACACUGGGACUGAGACACGGNCCAGACUCCUACGGGAGGCAGCAGUGGGGAAUCUUAGACAAUGGGCGCAAGCCUGAUCCAGCCAUGCCGCGUGAGUGAAGAAGGCCUUAGGGUCGUAAAGCUCUUUCGCCAGGGAUGAUAAUGACAGUACCUGGUAAAGAAACCCCGGCUAACUCCGUGCCAGCAGCCGCGGUAAUACGGANGGGGUUA
rnacentral:rRNA from 1 species